rnacentral:tRNA from 1 species
GGUUGUGGCUCAGUGGUAGAGCACUUGCCUAGCAUAUUUGAGGCCCUGGGUUCAAUUCUCAGCACCA